rnacentral:tRNA from 1 species
GACCGCGUAGCUCAGUUGGAAGAGCAUUGGGGUAGUAUCCAAACGUCGUAGGUUCGAAUCUCACCGUGGCCU